rnacentral:rRNA from 1 species
AGAGUUUGAUUCUGGCUCAGAACGAACGCUGGCAGCGUGGAUUAGGCAUGCAAGUCGAACGAGAUCCUGUUUUGCCGCAAGGCAGAGUGGGUGAUAGUGGCGUAAGGGUGAGUAACGCGUGGGUAACUUGCCUCCAAGUUGGGGAUAACUUAGCGAAAGUGAAGCUAAUACCGAAUGUGGUCAUUCCGCGCAUGUGGAAUUGACUAAAGGUGGGGAUCCUUCGGGACCUGCCGCUUGUUGAGAGGCCCGCGUACCAUCAGCUUGUUGGUGGGGUGACGGCCUACCAAGGCUAUGACGGUUAGCUGGUCUGAGAGGAUGGUCAGCCACACUGGGACUGAGACACUGCCCAGACUCCUACGGGAGGCUGCAGUCGAGGAUCUUUUGCAAUGGGCGCAAGCCUGACAAAGCGACGCUGCGUGGAGGAUGACGGCCUUCGGGUUGUAAACUCCUGUCUUCUGGGAGCAAAUACGGGGGAGGUAAUAUCUCUCUCGCUUGAGAGUACUAGAGGAGGAAGCCACGGCUAACUCUGUGCCAGCAGCCGCGGUAAUACAGAGGUGGCAAGCGUUGUUCGGAUUUACUGGGCGUAAAGGGCGCGUAGGUGGUAUCGUAAGUCGAGUGUGAAAUGCCAUGGCUCAACCGUGGAACGGCACUCGAAACUGCGGAACUAGAGUGCAGGAGGGGAGAGUGGAAUUCUCGGUGUAGCGGUGAAAUGCGUUGAUAUCGAGAAGAACACCGGCGGCGAAGGCGACUCUCUGGAAUGCUACUGACACUGAGGCGCGAAAGUCGGGGGAGCAAACAGGAUUAGAUACCCUGGUAGUCCCGACCCUAAACGGUGUACACUUGGUGUGGGGGGAAUUGACCCCCUCCGUGCCGGAGCUAACGCGUUAAGUGUACCGCCUGGGGAGUACGGUCGCAAGACUAAAACUCAAAGAAAUUGACGGGGGCCCGCACAAGCGGAGGAGCAUGCGGCUCAAUUCGAUGCAACGCGAAGAACCUUACCAGGGCUUGACAUGUAGCUGCAAUCCUGCCGAAAGGCGGGACGCCUUCGAGGGUGCUACACAGGUGCUGCAUGGCUGUCGUCAGUUCGUGCCGUGAGGUGUUGGGUUAAGUCCCGCAACGAACGCAACCCCUGUGUCUAGUUGCCACCACCGGUGAUGAGCCGGUGAGCACUCUAGACAGACUGCCCGUUUAUGCGGGAGGAAGGUGGGGAUGACGUCAAGUCAGUAUGGCCUUUAUGCCCUGGGCUGCACACGUGCUACAAUGGCCGGUACAGAAGGAAGCAAUACCGUGAGGUGGAGCAAAUCCCCAAAGCCGGCCUCAGUUCAGAUUGAAGUCUGCAACUCGACUUCAUGAAGUUGGAUUCGCUAGUAACGGCGUAUCAGCUACGACGCCGUGAAUACGUUCCCGGGCCUUGUACACACCGCCCGUCACAUCAUGAAAGCCGUCUGCAGCCGAAGUCGCUGAGCCAAUCCUUAACGGGAAGGCAGGCGCCGAAGCUGUGGGUGGUGAUUGGGAUGAAGUCGGAACAAGGUA